GACGAACGCUGGCGGCGUGCCUAAUACAUGCAAGUCGAACGAACUCUGGUAUUGAUUGGUGCUUGCAUCAUGAUUUACAUUUGAGUGAGUGGCGAACUGGUGAGUAACACGUGGGAAACCUGCCCAGAAGCGGGGGAUAACACCUGGAAACAGAUGCUAAUACCGCAUAACAACUUGGACCGCAUGGUCCGAGCUUGAAAGAUGGCUUCGGCUAUCACUUUUGGAUGGUCCCGCGGCGUAUUAGCUAGAUGGUGGGGUAACGGCUCACCAUGGCAAUGAUACGUAGCCGACCUGAGAGGGUAAUCGGCCACAUUGGGACUGAGACACGGCCCAAACUCCUACGGGAGGCAGCAGUAGGGAAUCUUCCACAAUGGACGAAAGUCUGAUGGAGCAACGCCGCGUGAGUGAAGAAGGGUUUCGGCUCGUAAAACUCUGUUGUUAAAGAAGAACAUAUCUGAGAGUAACUGUUCAGGUAUUGACGGUAUUUAACCAGAAAGCCACGGCUAACUACGUGCCAGCAGCCGCGGUAAUACGUAGGUGGCAAGCGUUGUCCGGAUUUAUUGGGCGUAAAGCGAGCGCAGGCGGUUUUUUAAGUCUGAUGUGAAAGCCUUCGGCUCAACCGAAGAAGUGCAUCGGAAACUGGGAAACUUGAGUGCAGAAGAGGACAGUGGAACUCCAUGUGUAGCGGUGAAAUGCGUAGAUAUAUGGAAGAACACCAGCGGCGAAGGCGGCUGUCUGGUCUGUAACUGACGCUGAGGCUCGAAAGUAUGGGUAGCAAACAGGAUUAGAUACCCUGGUAGUCCAUACCGUAAACGAUGAAUGCUAAGUGUUGGAGGGUUUCCGCCCUUCAGUGCUGCAGCUAACGCAUUAAGCAUUCCGCCUGGGGAGUACGGCCGCAAGGCUGAAACUCAAAGGAAUUGACGGGGGCCCGCACAAGCGGUGGAGCAUGUGGUUUAAUUCGAAGCUACGCGAAGAACCUUACCAGGUCUUGACAUACUAUGCAAAUCUAAGAGAUUAGACGUUCCCUUCGGGGACAUGGAUACAGGUGGUGCAUGGUUGUCGUCAGCUCGUGUCGUGAGAUGUUGGGUUAAGUCCCGCAACGAGCGCAACCCUUAUUAUCAGUUGCCAGCAUUAAGUUGGGCACUCUGGUGAGACUGCCGGUGACAAACCGGAGGAAGGUGGGGAUGACGUCAAAUCAUCAUGCCCCUUAUGACCUGGGCUACACACGUGCUACAAUGGAUGGUACAACGAGUUGCGAACUCGCGAGAGUAAGCUAAUCUCUUAAAGCCAUUCUCAGUUCGGAUUGUAGGCUGCAACUCGCCUACAUGAAGUCGGAAUCGCUAGUAAUCGCGGAUCAGCAUGCCGCGGUGAAUACGUUCCCGGGCCUUGUACACACCGCCCGUCACACCAUGAGGGUUUGUAACACCCAAAGUCGGUGGGGUAACCUUUUAGGAACCAGCCGCCUAAGGUGGGACAGAUGAUUAGGGUG
rnacentral:rRNA from 1 species